GGGUUCCACCGAGAUUUGAACUCGGAUUUCUGGUUAUAUACCAAUGUGCUGCCAUUACACCAUGGAACC
rnacentral:tRNA from 1 species